UCUGUCCACCUCGCUGGUGCAAGCAUGCAAGUCAGACCUGUUCUUAUGUCGAAGUAGGCGGAAGGCCUGGCCCACUUCCCACAAGCAUGCUGGAGUCCAGC
rnacentral:SRP_RNA from 1 species